GAUCCUGGCUCAGGAUGAACGCUAGCGACAGGCUUAACACAUGCAAGUCGAGGGGCAGCGGGGAGUAGCAAUACUUCGCCGGCGACCGGCGCACGGGUGAGUAACACGUGUGCAACCAACCCCGUACCGGGAGAUAACCCGCGGAAACGUGGACUAACAUCCCAUAAUACUGGAGGAUAGCAUGAUCUUUCAUUUAAAAUUCCGGUGGUACGGGACGGGCACGCGCGACAUUAGGUAGUUGGCGGGGUAACGGCCCACCAAGCCG
rnacentral:rRNA from 1 species